CCUACGGGAGGCAGCAGUGAGGAAUAUUGGUCAAUGGCCGGAAGGCUGAACCAGCCAUGCCGCGUGAAGGUCAGUGCCCUAUGGGCGUUAAACUUCUUUUGUGCGGGAGCAAUAAUGGUCACGUGUGGCCAGACGAGAGUACCGUACGAAUAAGCAUCGGCUAACUCCGUGCCAGCAGCCGCGGUAAUACGGGGGAUGCAAGCGUUAUCCGGAUUUAUUGGGUUUAAAGGGUGCGUAGGCUGUGAGGUAAGUCAGCGGUGAAAUGCCCCCGCUCAACGGGGUGAAGUGCCAUUGAUACUGCCUGGCUGGAAUGCGGAUGAGGUGGGAGGAAUGUGUGGUGUAGCGGUGAAAUGCAUAGAUAUCACACAGAACACCGAUUGCGAAGGCAUCUCACGAAUCCGCGAUUGACGCUGAUGCACGAAAGCGUGGGUAUCAAACAGGAUUAGAUACCCCUGUAGUC
rnacentral:rRNA from 1 species